GACGAACGCUGGCGGCGUGCUUAACACAUGCAAGUCGAACGAAGUGGCGAACGGGUGAGUAACACGUGAGUAACCUGCCCUCUUCUUUGGGAUAACGGUCGGAAACGGCUGCUAAUACUGGAUAGUGGGGGAUGGGCUCGCGGCCUAUCAGCUUGUGGGGGGGGUGAUGGCCUACCAAGGCUUUGACGGGUCACCGGCCUGGGAGGGUGAACGGGGACAUUGGGACUGAGAGACGGACCAGACGCGUACGGGAGGCAGCAGUGGGGGAUAUUGCACAAUGGGCGAAAGGCUGAUGCAGCGACGCCGCGUGGGGGAUGAAGGUUUUCGGGUUGUAAACCGCUUUCAGCCAUGACGCGGUAGUGGCAGAAGAAGCACCGGCUAACUACGUGCCAGCAGCCGCGGUAAUUC
rnacentral:rRNA from 1 species